CCCACCACAAACUAGCUGUUCUCUGGAAUAAUCAAAAACUCGUAAAUAACCAUCUCUUCCAACAGUUGCUAAGUAUGCCCCAUCCAUUGAGAACGUGAUGCUAUUGAUUGAACCUUGGCAAAUAUGCCAUCUGGCAAUAGGAUUACUCUUACUAUAACGCGCAUGUGCAACAGAAAAUAGAGUUGGAUCUUUGAUAAUGGGGAAUGAAGAAUCACCUGCACCAUCCUUGCUCUUCUCAUACACGUACACAUUCCCAUCGACAUGAGCAACAACAAAAGCACCAUCACCU
rnacentral:misc_RNA from 1 species